CCUACGGGAGGCAGCAGUGAGGAAUAUUGGUCAAUGGGCGGAAGCCUGAACCAGCCAAGUAGCGUGCAGGAUGACGGCCCUACGGGUUGUAAACUGCUUUUAUACGGGAAUAACGCGCCUUACGUGUAGGGCUUUGCAUGUACCGUAUGAAUAAGGACCGGCUAAUUCCGUGCCAGCAGCCGCGGUAAUACGGAAGGUCCGGGCGUUAUCCGGAUUUAUUGGGUUUAAAGGGAGCGUAGGCCGCAUGUUAAGCGUGCGGUGAAAUGGCCGGGCUAAACCCGGGCCUUGCAGCGCGUACUGGGGUGCUUGAGUCCGCGGAAAGCAGGCGGAAUUCGUCGUGUAGCGGUGAAAUGCUUAGAUAUGACGAAGAACCCCGAUUGCGAAGGCAGCUUGCUGCAGCGGAACUGACGCUGAUGCUCGAAAGCGCGGGUAUCGAACAGGAUUAGAUACCCUGGUAGUC
rnacentral:rRNA from 1 species